AACGAUAAUCAGCCUCCCAAACAAUACCAAACAUAACGGAUGAAGCAGAUCCGCUUAUGUUAAGCGCGAGGUUACGGUUGAGCGUCGGCGUUUGCGAUUCUCACAUGAAAAUGCAGCCCCAGGAGAUAAAGUAGAGAGGUAACGAGCAAAGUGUGAAUAAAACGGUAUAAAUUCUGUGCAAAAGGGAAAAUUAAAAUUAAAAUAAAAUAAAAUAGGAAAAGAGGAGAAUUGAGAACAACAGAUUGAUGAACAGUACCACGGAUUUUAAAAAAAAUCUAAUCUUUCAAAAUUCCAUAGAGAAAUGGGGAAGAAAGGAAAUAACAAAAACAAACCCCCAAAAUAAAAAUUAAAAAAAAAAACAGAGUACACACACAAACACGAAGAAGUGAGAGUAAAAAUUACCAGUUCCGAUGGAGAUAUAAAUACAAAGGAGAGGAUUGUUGAGUGAGAGAGCAGAGCUGCAUAAAAGCUAUGGUGUGAAAAUUGAGAAAAAUGAAUUUAAAAGCAAAAUAAUUGGGAGUGUGAUCAGCAAUCAGAAGAAGAAUGAAUCAGACGCG
rnacentral:lncRNA from 1 species